UACGAAGGGGGCUAGCGUUGUUCGGAAUUACUGGGCGUAAAGGGCUUGUAGGUGGCCAACUAAGUCAGACGUGAAAUCCCUCAGCUUAACUGGGGAACUGCUUCUGAUACUGGAUGGCUUGAGUUUGGGAGAGGGAUGCGGAAUUCCAGGUGUAGCGGUGAAAUGCGUAGAUAUCUGGAGGAACACCGGUGGCGAAGGCGGCAUCCUGGACCAACACUGACACUGAAAAGCGAAAGCCAGGGGAGCAAACGGG
rnacentral:rRNA from 1 species